rnacentral:misc_RNA from 1 species
UGGUGCUCUUGUUCUCCUUUUCAUUCGCUUGCGUCUCUGCUGAAGGGCGCGCAUACACCACUGCAACGCCCUCGAGCCACGCCUUUCGUUCACGCGUGUGUGUGUAGGCUGCCCCCUCUCCACCUCACUUCACUCCUCCUCCCUCGAACAGCGAAGAUAUUUCGCGAAAUUAUCACUCUCUGGCCGCCACGCCCCACCUCCUCUCCCCCAUCGACCUCCUCACAUACGCGACUUGUCACAGAUACAGUCGUCCGUAUCGACGCACCACACGCACGCAGGCAGUGGCACGCUGAUACACCAUUACGCGCGCUCAGCCAUAGGACAAGCAGACAGACGACGGAAACAAAGAGUCCGACGAAGGCACGUUUUGGGCGCGCACACGUGCCGCAAAUACGUCACUGGUGACCACCGCCUUCUCCCGCGUCCGCAUCUGCUGUCGCGGGAACCCACUCGUGCUCUGCAUCUAGCUUCUUCGCGUACGAAACACCCAGCCCCGCGCGCGCGGCACUCGCCCAGCACGUUUUUUUUUUUGGCUUUUCUGCCUUUGCAACGCAGAACGAACGCACGCAGGUAAGCGCACCCGCUGAUAUCAGCGGAGGGCAUCUCAUUCGUGCGUCGGGUGUAUCGCGCGUGCAUCCUUCUCCGCUUGACGCCUACGCCAUCUUCAUGGAGCCCGCCACGGGUUGCAAGAGCGGUGGCAAGGGCAAGGGCGUCAAGUCCUCGGCGCACAGCAAAACACCUGCCGCGGCGCCACCUGACGCUUCGGACAAUUUCGCUACUGGUGCUGCUGCGGUGUCCGCGACGUCACCCCACGCGACCGCUGCGGCACUGCGAAAGAAGAAAUCGACUUUGAAGAAGGCGCCGACGGCCGCGCUGGCACGAAAGACGAAGGAGAGGUCCAGGGAAAGGUCGUUGAGCACCCCCGCUCCGACGCCUCCGUUGCCAAGCUCACCGCUCUCCGCCAAACGGAAGAAGAGGAAGUCUGCAGAAAGUCUGGUGGGCAGCGAGGCGCAGCUGGCGCCGUCGGAGGCGGCCCCGGCACCAAAGCCGGAGGUCGAUGCGGAUUCGGUAGAGCAGUCACCGCAGCAGCAACCGGAGCCGCAGGCGGAUGUAGUGGGCAUGGAUGAGAAUGAUCUGCAGCAGCAGCGUGCGCUGCCACCGGAGGACAGCGACGACGGCAGCUGCGAUGCCGACGGUUUCGACAACGGCGCCUCGGCGCGUGUGGUGAUGCCGGUGACGUCGCUGGCUGGAAAGCGGCAUACAAGACUGAUCAUAGUGCCAGGGGCCGCGAACGGCUCUGGUGCCGCGGCACCUCCGAGCAGCGGGCUUGGCAACGGCCGCCGCGCGGGUGCGGUGGCCAGUAUCUCCAUUGGCAGUAGCGGCGGCAGUCACCAUCACGGAGACUGCACCUUGCGCUACCGCACGGACCUCGACAAGCAGGUAAUACACUUCAUGUUCGAGCGCUACCAGCAGGAGCAGACGCAUCCGACGACCUCUGCAGCAGCGUCGUCACCGCUGUCGACUACCAACGCCGGCGCCGCCGAAGGGACGAGUGCGCGGGUGGACGAGGCACCUCUCACGAGCAGGGGCACCGGUACCGCAAUGCAGGCAGCCGGCGCUGCUGCGGCCACCUCCGCCUCCCAGGUGCGCGCGCGACGCAUCAAUGUUGAGGAGAUCUGCGUUGUUGCUAAUGGCGAGGGCGAGGACAAGAACAUUGGCCUCGGGGAUUGGCACUUCUUCUGGAUGCAUGUAAGGCGCGUCCGCCACACGAUCUGCUCCAGCUCCUUCAGGUGGCAGGAGCAGCAGAUCAUCAACCACUUCCCCGAUCACGCGGAGCUGACCCGAAAGGACCUCAUGUACAAGAACAUCAAGCGCUACUUGCGAGAGCACCAAGCGGACAACUACGCCCGGCUGACACUGCACACCGCCACCGAUUGGGUCUCGGCAUCGGCCCUCGCCGCCGAUGCCGAGGGCGCAGCAGGCCCGUCCGCGUUCGCGUUCGCUGGCGGCGAGCACAGGCCGCCGUUAUCUGUCAAGUCGUUCUGCUUUGCCGACAGCGUCCCGCUGACGUACAACAUUCCAAACGAUAUGAACAUGUUCAAGGAGAAGUUCCAGCGGCGGCGCGGCACGCAGUGGAUUGUGAAGCCGACGUCGCGGUCACAGGGCAAGGGCAUCUUCAUCAUUGACGACGUCCGCUCCCUGCAGCGGUGGAUGUCUGAGAAAAAGGAGUCGGAUAACAUGGCCUCCUUCCUGGCCACUAGCCCCUCUAACCGAGCUAACUGGGUCGCGCCGUCGGUCCUGCAGCAACAGCGCGCCGCAGUUCUGAGUAGCAUAGAGUCAGCACCGGGUACAGCGAGCGGCGGCAACGGAUGCUCGCUGGCGAGCCCGACCUCCCCUCGCUUCAACGCCACCAGCGCAGUGACGUCUCAAACCACAGCCGGCGCCGGCGGCAGCGGCGGUGGGUUGCUCGGCUCGUACAUUAUCAGCCGCUACAUCUCCAACCCGCUGCUGAUCGGUGGCAAGAAGUUUGACCUGCGCCUGUACGUUCUCGUCACGUCCUACAAGCCUCUCGUGGCGUACCUGCACGAAGACGGCUUUGCCCGAUUCUGCGCGACGCGAUACGCUGGCAGCAGCCUGGCCCAGGAGGACCUCGGCUCCCAUCUAACGAACGUCGCCUUGCAGAAAGGCGACGAGCAUUACAACACCUCGCACGGUGGCAAGUGGUCUUUCCAGAACUUGUUCCUGUACGUGCAGAAGGGCUACGGCCCGUACACGGCGGAGGGCAUGAUCAAGAACAUCCAGUUUCUCAUCUACCACUCGCUCAAGGCGGUGGAGCCGGUAAUGUUCAACGACAAGCACUCGUACGAGCUCUACGGCUACGACAUCCUCAUCGACGACCACAUCAACCCCCACUUGAUCGAAGUAAACGCGUCGCCGUCCAUGUCGACGACGACGUUGUCGGACCGGCUGCUCAAGGAGCAGGUGCUGAAUGAUACCAUGAAGAUAGUCUUUCCUCCUGGAUACCCGGCGAGCAAUAAGGGGAUGCCAUACUGGGAGUACCGUCUUCGCACCGACCUGACGACGCGGCAACAGACGGGCUUCAAGCUGUUGCAGUUCUAGGCCACACAGCUGGCAUUCUUACCUUUUGUGUGAUGCGUGCGCGUCGGAGGAUGCGGGGUGGCUGCGACUUAGCAGCCGAUUCCACUGGCCGACCUCGGAGCACGACUAUCGGUGAAUCUGGGACUUUCUAUCUAUAUCUCUCUAUAUAUAUGUGUGUGUGUGUGCGUGUGCGUGGUUGUCGUCGGGGUAAUGAGGCACACGUUGUCGCUGCACGCAUCUCUGGUUUUCAAGGAUCGUUCCUGUGCUUCUCGUGGCUUGCUUUGCUCCGCACGACCAUGCGUGGGUCGCACGUCAGUACCGCACAGCUGAUCGACGCUCUCCUUUCCUGCACAGGAAGGCAAGGGAGGCCGCAGAACGGCGCAGGCAGCGGGCGUUCCAGUGUCUCCGCGCGUGCGUCCGCCUGCUUCUCGUGCUACGCGAUGACCGCCCGCAUGGGUGAUUGCGCGCACACGCGGUAAGUGGGGCGGGAGAAGACAACGAACAAGUGUAGAGAGAGAGUGCCCGCCAUAUACACGGAUCCGCCGUCAACGCCGUGCCGCCGUGCUUGGUCCGUUGUGUGGUCGUACACACACCCGCACGCCCACUGCCCUUCUUCUGUCUUGUCUCGCCAUCCCUUUCCACGCUUUCUUCUCUCCCUGCAUGCCUGUCUGUUUCUCCACGUCUGCCACGAAG